rnacentral:rRNA from 1 species
GUUGAGGAAGAUAAUGACGGUACUCAACAAGGAAGUGACGGCUAACUACGUGCCAGCAGCCGCGGUAAAACGUAGGUCACAAGCGUUGUCCGGAAUUACUGGGUGUAAAGGGAGCGCAGGCGGGAAGACAAGUUGGAAGUGAAAUCCAUGGGCUCAACCCAUGAACUGCUUUCAAAACUGUUUUUCUUGAGUAGUGCAGAGGUAGGCGGAAUUCCCGGUGUAGCGGUGGAAUGCGUAGAUAUCGGGAGGAACACCAGUGGCGAAGGCGGCCUACUGGGCACCAACUGACGCUGAGGCUCGAAAGUGUGGGUAGCAAACAGGAUUAGAUACCCUGGUAGUCCACACUGUAAACGAUGAUUACUAGGUGUUGGAGGAUUGACCCCUUCAGUGCCGCAGUUAACACAAUAAGUAAUCCACCUGGGGAGUACGACCGCAAGGUUGAAACUCAAAGGAAUUGACGGGGGCCCGCACAAGCAGUGGAGUAUGUGGUUUAAUUCGACGCAACGCGAAGAACCUUACCAAGUCUUGACAUCCUGCGACGAUGCUGGAAACAGUAUUUUCCUUCGGRACGCAGAGACAGGUGGUGCAUGGUUGUCGUCAGCUCGUGUCGUGAGAUGUUGGGUUAAGUCCCGCAACGAGCGCAACCCUUAUGGUCAGUUACUACGCAAGAGGACUCUGGCCGGACU